AGAGUUAAAAAGUGCGUGAAACCGUUAAGAGGGAAGCAAAUGACACUAGCAUUUGUACCUUCUAUAAUCAAUCAGUCUGCUUGAAGCCGUGUGGCGUGGAGAGCGUAAAAACCUCCUGUUAUGCGUUCGGAGAGUAGGCUGGUGCACUUGUAGAUGGCACAGGCCAACAUCAGUUCGGACUGGGACAUAAGCGUGUUGGGAAGGUGGCUUGCAGCUUCGGUUGUAAGUGUUAUAGCCCUUCACGAACGUUUCGGGCUGGACUGAGGAGUCGCAGGUCGUGCCUCUGGCUAGUUCCCUGGCCUCUGGCGUAGCAGUUCUGUUGUACUUGCGAAAAGUAAGUGCUACGGAGCCACGCAGCGUCACCGGUUAGGUGUAUCAUAAACGACCUUCGGAUGUUGACAUAAUGGUUUUAAACGACC
rnacentral:ncRNA from 2 species